rnacentral:rRNA from 1 species
CACGUGGGGCGCGAGCGUUGUCCGGAAUUAUUGGGCGUAAAGAGCUCGUAGGCGGUUUGUCGCGUCUGCUGUGAAAACCCGGGGCUCAACCCCGGGCCUGCAGUCGAUACGGGCAGACUAGAGUGCGGUAGGGGAGACUGGAAUUCCUGGUGUAGCGGUGAAAUGCGCAGAUAUCAGGAGGAACACCGGUGGCGAAGGCGGGUCUCUGGGCCGUAACUGACGCUGAGGAGCGAAAGCGUGGGGAGCGAACAGG